AGAGUGUAUUAAUCUAAGCAAACAUUGGUUUAUGCUUGGCAAUUGAGAAUCAGUCCUGUCAAAACCGGGUGAGCUGCAAUUUUGGCAUUCCAUUGUCUGGAAGAGGAAGAAUAAUUACAACGUUCACAGUAUUCACAAGACAAGAACUAACCAGAGAUUCAAAAGCAGAAUAAUGUUGGGACCCCAGAGAAGUAUUCUUGGCUUUUCUCAGAAGGAAGAAACUGUGUGAUGUGAGGAAUAAUAUCCUCUACAGCAUCUAUAUGGCAUCGGAAGCUCUCAGAAGAAUAACUACUUGCUCUCAUCUUGAUCCAUAGGAAUUGACCAGCUGACCAGCUGGCUAAGUACCCAAAUGUGUGUGGUGAGGGUGAGACUUAAAAACAGAGCUCAACAUCUGAAAUCUAGAAAAAUUUGGUGCCAGUGUUCUUCAUACGAAGUUAGUGAUGCGCUGCCAGUAUUGCAACAGCAUCCUCCUGGGACACAUUUCUAAUGCUUCACAGCAGGAACUGUUUCUGGCAGCUUGGUGAACCAAGAAAGGCAAUAUUCUUCUGGGGUGAGUUCUUAUUCAUUGGCUAUCUGGAGUGCAUGGAGAAGAGCUUGACUGGUUGGCUGAUUCCUGUUCCCCCACUUUCUAAGGAAUCAGUUCAACCACAUGUUUUCUCAUUGUCAACUUUAUAUAAAUAGACUUCCCUUGGCUAUUGUUGGUCUUUCGAAGAAGGAUUGAAUCUUGUUGAAGUUUCUUUCUUACAGACAUAGAAAAUGCUGGUAGCCAUAACACUCCAAACUAUUUUUCUGGAUCUUAAUUUGACUAGGGAGAGAGAAGGUCAUUUUUGUUUAAACAGGGAUUGCAUUUUACAGAAACAUUGCCUUGAGAGACACAACAUGAAUUACAACAUCAUGAUGUAUUCAGCCAGAUGUCUGCAAGACAGAAAAUCACGUGACUGAGCAAGGCAUGUGAAUGUUCUUAAAGGGGGAGAAAUAGAAAAGAAAAACCAAACAUGCAUCAGAUAUUUCCUUUUUGCAUCACAUUAUUCCCAAUCAUAUGGAUGCCUUAUGUUUAUAACUUGCCAAUUAUGAAUUUCCCCUCAUGUAUAUUAAACUUAAGGAUCACUAUAAUUUUAAUCUUGUUAACAAAUUUGCUGUUUGUCUAUAUCUAUUUAGGAGAUUAGCAUCCAGGGCUCAUUAGGUAUCUGUUAGGAUGGUUGUUAGGGCAUAGUGAGAAAUUAUUUUUUGGCACUCACAACAAAUGUAUAUGGAUAUACAUUUAGUUUCUUGGGAUCCUAGUCCAUGUAUUUGAAAAGUAUAUGUACUUGACGAUCCUGAGCAAAACUGGAAUCAUUUGAAUUAAUUCAUCUUUUUUUUUCACAAUUGGCAAUCUCACGCUCAGUAUAUUAAUACAUAUUCACUAAAUAAUCAUAGUGUAGUUUGUAGUUUCUCAGUUGCACAGAAAUGGUUGGGUUCUUUCAGGGAUCCUUACUUGAAGAUAAGGAUCAGAGCACUAUUAAGGAAAGGGAGGAUAAUCCUGAAGUGUGGGAGGGGAUGGUCAUGGAUUUACCUAUUUUUACUAUUUGUUUUAUUUACUCUAUUUCUAACAACCCAAUCACUUCUCCAGUGGCAAAGGCCUUUGGCAUUUGGUAGGCACCCAAUGCAUAAUUGCUGAUGAAAGAAUGAAUUCUAUUGCCAGGGCAUCCAUUUCAUUUUCUCUGCAGCCACACCAUCAGCAUGGCAACUGCCCCGACAGCACAUUCUUUUCAUGAUUGUUUUAAAUUUCUUAUGCUAUUUUCCGUAAGGUAGUGGUCUAUAUAAUUUUUAGUCAUGCACUCCUAUUAAUUAAGUUUUGUGCAUGUAGUCUCUAAAUACAUAUUUUACAAAUAAGAUAUUCUGUUGCUUUAUAAAAUAUAGUUAAUCAGAAGAAUGAGAUUGUUAAUAACAAUUCUAAUAAUUAUUUCUCCAUUUUCAUGGACUGUCUUGCUAACCUUCCUUGUACACUGUAUUCUGGAGAACCUUGGCUGUUGAAAGCAUAAAGGAAGAAGAAUGCAGUUUUUGCCUUGGGGAGCUUACAUCUUAUCUGGUAUACCAGAUAAACACAAUGAAGGACAACACAACGGUAAACAAGCAUGUGAAGAAGGUCCUUGUUCCCCCUUCGCCUUCUGCCGUGAUUCUAAGCUUCCUGAGGCCUCCACAGCCGUAUGCAAAUGUGACUCAACUGAACUUCUUUCUUUUAUAAAUUACCUAGUUCUUGGGGAGUGUUUUUAUAGCAGCUUGAGAAUGGACUAAUACACUUUAUUAGUCAUUCAACCUCUCUAAGCCUCCAUUUGCUUGUCUGUAAAAUGGAAGUAAUAACGUCUUCUUCAUGGAGUCUUUAUUAUUAGUAUUAGAGGAUCCAAUGAAUGGAAAACACCUGGAAUAGAGCUGGGUUCCUGUGCAUGCUUACCAAAAGUCCUUUCUCUUCUCCUGCAAAUCUUUGAAUGUCUAUCUUGAUUAAUUCUUGUUGUAUUUAUAUUACAUGUUUGAACUACAGGCAUUGGAAUCAAACUUCCUAAGUACUCAUCUUCUCUGGAAUACCAACUAGUAACCAAGUAACUUAGUAAACUAUGACUCAGUUUGUUUAUCUGUAAAUUAAAAAUAGGCCAGGCGCGAUGGCUCACACCUGUAAUCCAGCACUUUGGGAGGCCGAGGCGGGCAGAUCACAAGGUCAGGAGAUGGAGACCAUCCUGGCCAACAUGGUGAAACCCUGUCUCUAUGAAAAAUACAAAAAAAAAUUAGCCGGACAUGGUGGCAUGUGCCUGUAAUCCCAGCUACUUAGGAGGCUGAGGCAGGAGAAUCGCUUGAACCCGGGAGGUGGAGGUUGCAGUGAGCUGAGAUGGCACCACUGCACUCCAGCCUGAUGACACAGCUAAACUCCAUCUUAAAAAAAAAAAGAGUAGUAUCACCCCAAGGAGUUGUGGAGACUAAAUGAAAUGUUUACUUCUUUAAGGAGUAGCCAUUUUGUUAUGAUUUUCACCCUUGGACUUGUGUUUUCACCAUUGGACUUGUAUUUUAAUAGAGUUUAAAACAUAGUGGUAUGUUUCCAUUUUUAUGUGUUGCUUUUGUUUUAUUGAGGACUAUCAGAGAUUUCUGAAAUUUUUCUGUUUAAUGAAGAUUUAAAUUGCUACGAACACCUACUAACCUCCCUGCCCAGUGCCUCUAUUCCUUUGCAGAACAGCUAUCUUGCUUUGUCAAUUAUGUGUUUCAAGUUGUAUCUGUCAAUCACAGAAACCUGCCUUCUUGGCCACAGUGAUUUGUCCAUGGGUGGAAAUAGCUAACCCAAAGUAGACCAGUGAGUUGUUUUUCUUAGAAUGUUAACUUGAGUCAGUUCCUGCAGGCAAAGCUGUGAGUUAUUAGACCCCAGGACACAAGAUGACCAUAUUCCCUGCAGUGUAAAACAAGUCAAUCUGAACACGACUUCAGAAUUACAGAGAGUGGGGCCAGGAUGUUCUGAUACCAUUUGGUCUCUGGUUCUAGCCACUUCUUUGACCAAGCUGUACUCUGUCCUUCAUUUGGCUACUUGACACCUCCAUGAAAUUCUCUUGGUAGCAUGUUCCAUUUCAAUUGGGCUUCUCUCACUUGUGAUGUGUCAAAUAACACAGAAAAAUUUUGGUAUGUUAAUGAUUGUUACAGAAGACAAGGUGGAGCCUGCUAUUUUAUUCUAAUAUUAUUAUAUUAUAACAUUAUAAGCCAUCUUUAUGUUUUAAGUGCCCUUCAUGCACAUUACUUUUAAUGACCAUGUAAUAUUUCAUCAUA
ensembl:lncRNA EDNRB-AS1 EDNRB antisense RNA 1